rnacentral:lncRNA from 1 species
CGGCUCCCUUGCCAGAGCCACGCCCCUUCCGUCGGCAGCUUCCGGAACCGCGCUCCUUUGCGCCGCCUCCUUGAGAUCUGAUUGGCUACUGCGGCGACCGCUAACGGGCGCGCAGUUUAAAUUCGUGCGGGGUCGACGCCGAGCUCUGGGAGCCUGUGGCCUCGCCGUGGAACACUAUGGAGUCUCCAGGGAUGGGUCCUGACUCGGUGACCUCAGGAAUUAAGAGACGCGUGAAAGACAAAAGAGUUUCAAAGACUACACUGAAUGUUUCUCUUGCUUCAAAAAUCAAAACAAAAAUAAUAAACAAUUCUUCUAUUUUCAAAAUUUCCCUAAAGCACAACAACAGAGCAUUGGCUCAGGCUCUCAGUAGGGAAAAAGAAAAUGCUCGAAGAAUUGCAACCGAAAAGAUGCUGUUGCAAAAAGAAGUGGAGAAACUGAAUUUUGAGAAUACCUUUCUUCGAAUAAAACUAGAUAACUUGAACAAGAAGCUUAUAGAAAUAGAAUCACUCCUGAGCAAUAACUUGAUAACCGCAAUUGAAAUGAGCAGUCUUUCUGAGUUCCACCAGACCUCCUUUCUGCCAUCCAAUAGUAAGAAGAAACGGCCCAGCAAACAGUGCACGUUGAUCCGUCUUCCAUUUGCAAGGGUUCCACUACCUUCGAAUGAUGAUGAGGAGGUUGAUAAAGAGAAAACGCCAUGGGACAGCAGUGUCACAUCAAGGGUGUCACCUGAUGCUCCGUCUUCAGUAUCAGAAAGUCAGUCUGCCCCGACUCAGUGUAACGUGGACACGUUGUUUCUUAAAGAAAAUAAUUGGAAUAUGUGUGGUCUAGAUGACUCAGAGCAUAUUUCUUCUAGUGUCGACGUACCUCCCAAAGAGAGUCAUUCCCACUCAGACCGAAGUUCCCAGCCUGCCGUGGUGGGUGAGACAACCAAUGCCCCUGGCACCAGCUGUGUAAAGGAGAAGCUGUCCCUGAGUAACGUGACAGCGAGGAAGAAGCGCGUGUCUGCUGCAGACACGCCGCCGGGGGCAGAUUCAGGGCAGCAGCAGAGUUGGAGUCCGGAAUUUGGCUGGCCUGUGGAGACAGAGGGUUGUGCUGAUGAAAAAAACAUCGCAGUGCCCAGAAAUGCGCAGGGCCUUCCUGGCCUGGAAAACCCUCCUGUGCCUUCCAGGGAGCCUGCCGAAGACAGGGCAGGCCGAGCCCAGGACAGCAGCGACCCCUGGGGGCAGGUGACUGUGUUCGGGGCCGACAUGGAGCUGACAGCCACCGACGUGAGCACAAUCGUCGCCGUUUCCCGAGGCGGCAGACGGGGAAGCAAUAGAAAGAUAAACGACUGCAAACCGAAGGCUUUCAGGAAGAGAUAUUCACCUGAUACACAGGGUGCUUCCUCUGAUGGUAUCCCUGAGGGUUCUAUGCCCAUGAGUGUUUCUUCUGGUAAAAUCCUGAUCACCGAAGACCAUUCUGCCCCUGAGCGCUCACCCCUCCUUCAGGUCCUCAGUGAUGGGCUCAAGAAGACGAAGGAGGUGCGAGCCAGUGUCGGUGGCAGAGCACAGAAGCCAGAGACAGGUAACAGAACACUACAGGAUCUGACAAACACCAGUUUCUUUUCAAGUAAAGCUGCGAAGUCUGAGAGUGAGUUGGGAGAUGGAGCCUCCAAGCCACCAAGCAGAAAGCGGAGGUGCACACCGCUCAGUCUGAGAGAGCCCAGCCUCAAAAGAAAGAUGAGAAGAUGAAGUGAAGAUGGACUCUAGUUUUUCUGAAUUCUCAAGGAACCAGAAGUCAGAACAAAAAUAUACCUAGGAUCACAAAGAUGGAACACUUGAGGAAAAGUUUUUUUCCCCCUUUUUGGGCCUUUGCUUAGAGUGCUGAUUUGUUCAUUCUUGUGUUUAAACAUAUGUGCAUAAAGUAGCUAGUUCUGUAAUAUUAAAUUUCUAAAAUACUUUUGGUCAUAUAACUUAUUUUCCUUCUCAUAUAAGUUUCUUUCUACCUAACAUCCUUUAAGCAAACAACAGCUAUCAGCCUUUUAACUGCAUAAAUGUAUGAAUAAAUACUUUUGCAUUGGUUAUCAUGUACGGGAAGCUAUCUUGUUUUGCUUUUGAUCUGGUUGCUGUAUGUGAACAUGUAAAAGCUUUAAAGGUCCUCUCCUGUGCUGGCCUGAUUUCUGUCAGCCUCAUUCUUCUCCAUUUGCCAUCAGUUUCUCUCUCUGUUACACAGAACCUGGGGCCUGGGGAGGGAUGUUGGGAGGAGGGGCUUCACUGUUGGCCUUUCAGCCUCUUUGGAAUUUGGUGCUUAUGACUACUCCAGCCACAAGUGAUGAAUCCUCUGCCUACCUGAGGUCACCGCGAGAUUUGCUGUUUUCAUACAACUGGUCAGAUGUGUUCUGCCUCCAUGUGGACGCUUCCUUAGAACAGCUCUGACCGGUGCCUCAGGCAGUUCUGUGGCAGCUUGUCCUGGGGCCACACUUGGAGAGACUCCUGCAGGGGAACAGGACUUGGCACUGUAAAGAUGGCCUUCCUAGCAGCCAACCGUGUCAGUUCACAGAGGCUGCAGACUCCUGUAGCACAGCAGUCUCCUCUCCUCUCCGCUGUGGUCCAGAGCUCAGUGUCCACGG